rnacentral:misc_RNA from 1 species
AAGUCGUAACAAGGUUUCCGUAGGUGAACCUGCGGAAGGAUCAUUACUGAGUUCAUGCCCUCACGGGGUAGAUCUCCACCCUUGAAUAUUUAAACCUUUGUUGCUUUGGCGGGCCGCUUCGGCCACCGGCUUUGGCUGGUGAGUGCCCGCCAGAGAAACCAAAACUCUGAAUUAUAGUGUCGUCUGAGUACUAUAUAAUAGUUAAAACUUUCAACAACGGAUCUCUUGGUUCUG